GUGGAAGUAGACUUACAACAAUGGCUUUAGUGGCGGACUGGUGAGUAACGCGUAAGGAACCUGCCUUCUAGAGGGGAAUAACAAUGAGAAAUCAUUGCUAAUACCGCAUAUGCCGAGAGAAUCACAUGGUACAAUCGGGAAAAGAGUAAUCUGCUAGAAGAUGGCCUUGCGUCUGAUUAGAUAGUUGGUGGGGUAACGGCCUACCAAGUCGACGAUCAGUAGCCGGACUGAGAGGUUGAACGGCCACAUUGGGGCUGAGAUACGGCCCAGACUCCUACGGGAGGCAGCAGUCGGGAAUAUUGCGCAAUGGAGGAAACUCUGACGCAGUGACGCCGCGUAUAGGAAGAAGGUUUUCGGAUUGUAAACUAUUGUCGUUAGGGAAGAGAAAGGACAGUACCUAAGGAGGAAGCUCCGGCUAACUACGUGCCAGCAGCCGCGGUAAUACGUAGGGAGCGAGCGUUAUCCGGAAUUAUUGGGUGUAAAGGGUGCGUA
rnacentral:rRNA from 1 species